UACGUCACAUUGAAACACCGAUUCCCGUACGAUCACCGGAGUCAAGCAACGUCAAGUCUGGUCAGUAUCUAGAUGGGUGACCGCUUGGGAAUAGCAUGUACUGUA